AGCUUCGCAUCCAGCGACCGGUUCAUUCCACAAUCGUCGUCGCUCCCAGCGUGAUCUGUGUGCGCGUGCGCGGCUUCAACAACAACAACAACAAGAGCAACCCACGCGAGACACCUCAACGAGUUAGAGGAAGAGAAUAACCGAACACAUAUACGAUUGCUAUUGCGAUUGCGAUUUGGGGAAUACUCCGGCAAAAUUCAACGCGUUUCGUUUCGUUUUUUAUGCAAAUCGCGGAUGAGUGAAUACAACAACAACAACAAAAAAAGUGUAGAACGGUGAAACGAUGCAAAGGAGAUGACAACGACGAACGAGAAGUCGAAGACGAAGAAGUAACAAACUUAAGUCACAUUUCGUCACUGGCGUGAAAGUAAAAAUUCUUUGUGCCUCAUUUGGUAUUGUGAAAUUCACAGUUAUUCAUAGUUUCGUGGCAACAGCAUCGACAACAAAAGAGAUUUUCGCUCUGACUGCGAAUAUUACGAAAUGAUCGUAAAACUCGCGUAACCAACAGCAAAUCCACAAGAAAACACACCGACAACAACAACAACAACAAAAGCAAAUAGAAAACAAAAUCCAAGUCAAGAAAUGAGUAAUGAGAGUUUAUUCAGUGUCUGUGUCUUGCUCUCUGUGAAUGUGUCUGUGUGCUGUUAAUUGAUUGCCAAAAAAAAGGUGUAAAUGUAAAUGUUUAUUGUGCACAUUUAACGGCAACUUUUUUGGAGCAAAUUCUACCGUUAUUUGCAUUGUCCACAUACAUAACACACAUACUAGGAAUCGAAGCCACAUUGAAGCAGAGGACUACGAGGAGUAAAAGUCGCCAUCACAAUUCGCACACUGUGGCCAGCGGGAGACGAGCAGCAAACCGAAUGCAGUAUCUCAACUACGCACUGCAGACAUCCACGCGACUGCUGACCAGCCAGAGCAAUAGCAAUAGCCAUAGCAAUAACCACAGUCAGAGCCAGACGGCAGCCAAGGCGGCGGCGGCGGGUAGACAACAACAGCAACAACAACAACAGAAAGAAAUUGAAGAGGAGCAAAUAGCACACGCCUGUUGCAGUCGAGGCGCACAAUUGCUGAGAUUGCGCCACCAGGAGCUGGCCAAGCGACGUGCCCUUGAGCUAGAGGAUCAGCUGAACGCCAACGCCAUCAGCUGUGCCCAGGAUAACGACGACGACGAGGACAGCGAAGCAUCUAGCGCGACAGAGGAAGGCGCAGUUGGGGGACAUCUGGAGGCGGAGUCGGGGGCAACAGAGAGGCGGCACAUCCAGAAAUCCAGCGAGUCGGCGCCGCAGCCAGUCCAAUGAAAUUUACUCUCAUUUAAUGUGCAACUGGCGCGUAGCAAGCUGUUAUCGUUUUUCAACCGCGACAUGGCCGCCACCGAUGGCCAAAUCAUAUUGGCCGCCUCCCGUUUUGGGGAUGCGACGCCCGUCUAUUUACGCGACUUCUCCAAGCAACCGCUGCCGGCGGUGGCUAAGAUCCUGAAGGGUCAGCAUCAGGCCCUCGGCGUGCCAACGCUAUCGGCGCCAUCGCUGCAGAGCACUGCGCUCUUUUUGAGUGCCGGCAAAAAGUAUCAGAUUCUGGCGCAACCCAUUAAGAUCAAGGAGGGACGCAAGCCCACGAAUGUGGGCGCCAAGGUGCUCAUACCGGAGACCUAUGGCGGCUACUUUGAGCUCCUCAGCGAGGAUGGCCGCUCCACGCGUUGCAUUGACUCUGUCCUGGAGCUGGCACGUCGGCGAAAUGCUCGUGUCCUGGUGCGGGAGACUUUCCGUUGCCAGCAGCUCAAUCGCACCAUUCACGCUGGAGAGCUGCUCACCACGAUGAACGACAAUGGCAAGUACCUGCAGUGCCGCAACAUCAAGGACGAGAUCAUCAAUCUGCCACUCGAUACCAAAGCCAAGUUCUCGCCGAUUGCACGCGAGGACAGCAUCAGCGGAGUGCACACCGUCAAGAAUCUGCUGCUCAAGCGGAUGCCCGUCAUCGUGAGACUUGUGCAUGGCAGCGGACCCAAGGGACUGAAGCAACCUUUUGUGCCAGAGCUGCGACUGCUGGGCUGCGUGGAAAUCGAUCGGAUCUUUGCGUUGCCGUUGCAGAAGGACACGGAUCUGGUGCCAGUGCCGUUGAACGUGAAAAUCAAGCUGCAGCGGGCCAAGAACAUGGAACAGCUGGAGCAUUUCAUUGAGUACACGCGCUUUUUGGAUAAGGCGCAGCGUCUGCUUGCGGAUGCGCGCGAUCGCCUGCAGAUUGUCGAUCUCAAGCUGAGCGAAAAGGAGAAGAAGGACUCCAAGUUCAGCAGUCGCAACAGCGGCAACAAGCUGCCCAUCGUCAUGCUGCCCUCGGCGGCGGGCGUGGCCAGCGGUCUGGCCGAGAGCGGCUAUGUGCUGCGCAAGAGCGCCAGCUGUGAUUCGUGGUCCAAGCAGCAGCAGCAGGCGCUGAGCAGCAGCGAGUUUGCCGAGGAGUACAAGGAGAUUGAUCACAUCUAUGACUAUGUGCGCGGUCUGACGCCGCUCUCCAAGGGAUUGGCUCGCUUUGAGCCGAUCUGCGAGUCGCCAACACUCAAGUCCCAUCACACGGACAGCAGCGGCAAUGGCAACUAUUGCAGCCUAAUCAGGGGACCGACAACAGCAGCAGCAACACCACACCAGCAGCAGCAGCAACAGACGAGCAACAACAACAACUACAGCAGCCUGGAGUCGAACAAACACAGCAGCAGCAACGGUGGCCAUCAUCAUCAUCAUCAGCAAUACUCGUCACAGUCGCAACAGCAGUCGCUGGUUCAUCACUCGUCGGCAUUGCUGGUCAAUCACUAUCAUCACAGCCAUAUACAGGAGGACAUUAAGCCGGUGCCGCCGCCAAUUGAGACGAUUCCGGGCAAGAAGCCGGCGGAGAAGCGACAGCGUCCCACACUACCAAAGCUUUACAUCAAGAAUGCGAAUGCGCACAGCGCCGGCAGCAGCAGCAAUGGCAACUCAACCGGCGGCACCAGUCACAGUCACAGCCAUAGUCACAGCCACAGUCAUAGCCAUUCGCAGCAGCAGCAGCAACAGUUGCCGCCAACGCCGGGCAGCAACAACAGCAACAGCAACAAUAAUAAUAAUAACAACAACAGCAGCAGCAGCAACACGGCAGCAAUUGUUGCCAGUGCAGCGGCAGCAGCGCACCACGCCCACGCGCACGCCCAUGCCCAUCAUCCCCAUGGACAUGCACAUGCAUCGCAUCAGCAUCAACACCCACAUCCACAUCCCCAUCCGCAUCCGCAUCCACAUCACCAUAGCAAGGUGCUGACGCCCAACAAUCAUUUGCCAGUCAAGGAAUCCCUCGAGCCGCAGUCGCCGAUCUUUCAUAUCAGAUACAAGAGUCUCAGCAGUCUGCAGCUGACACCGGACAGCAACAACACGGGCGCAAUGACGCCGCCGAUGAUCUCAGCGCAUGCCAAGUCAACAGCAGCAGCAGCGGCAGCGGCCCAAGCAGCCUCAGCAGCAGCGGCGGCAGCGGCAGCAGCAGCAUCAACUGGCUCACAGUCGCCGCCCGAUGUGGUGCUCAAGUGCGGCAGCAUACUCAAUUCGCAUGGCUAUUUGGCGCACAGUCACAGCCGCAGCUCGAGCAGCAACAAUCACCACAGCAGCAACAACAACCCAAGGGAGGGCACGCUGGACUCGUCGCGCAGCGGGGGACGCACUUCGGGCGACUCACAGAAGCUGCCGGAGAAGAAGACGCGACGCUUGUCGCGGCCACGCAGCCUCUCCAAUCUGGUGUGGGAUCUGCGGCCAUCGAAGGAGAAGUCCAAGAAGAAACUCUAUAUACACCAUUUCGAUCAGCGUCAGCAGGCGACGCUCUAUCUGUAGACGAUGUAAAAGAGGAGGAGAAUGGGAAAGAGGAGCAGGCAGAGGAAGUGGAGGAAGAGGAUGCGAUGCUCGGGUACGGAGUAGAGAUUCGUUGCCAAAUCGUUUCGCUGCCAUCAACAACCACAAACAACAACAACAACCACGACAACAGAAAACAGACAACCAUAAGAAGCAACACCAACAUUUAACGCUGUGUGUGUUCCUGCAGCUUUCACCAGUUUAGCUUGCAGCAGCAAUUUUAAUUAACAUUGAAUUGUGCCUUCCCCUGCGCCUAGAACUAUGCUUUAAAAUUCCAAUGAAAUAUUUUUGAAGAAUAUUUUGCCUGGAUGGACAAGGAUGAAUGUGAAAGAGAGGGAGAACAGAAGAAGAUGAAGAUGAAAAAGAAGAGAGCAGAAGAACCAAACAAAACAAAACAAGAAAACCAAUCACAUGAAGCGCUGAUGACACACACACACAGAAACAGACACAGACAAUACAAUAAACACACAAAAUACACACACACUCACACGUCAAGUCUAUAAAAUUGUGAUUUUAAUUUUAUGUUUAAUUUAAUUUAAUAUUGCGACACUUUUAGUUAAUAUUUAAUACGAAUAGGCGACAAGGCAAAGCAAAAAACAAAAAACUACAAAAUAAUCAUAAACAAGAAAAAAGUGAAUAAAUAAAAAGCCAUUUUUCAUUUAGCUGUCGCUUUCAGUUUUCAGUCACAUUACAAAUUUAAAAAAGUAAAAAAAAAAAACAAAAACCAACAACAAGAAACGGCAAAUUAACGAAACGGUGUAUUAAUUAAGCUUGGACCUAAAGCUCGAGUUGCAAAAGCUGCAAAAGGCGAUUGGCGCCUCCACAAGCAAGAUAUCAAAAGACACUUACACAUACACACACACACACAAGCAUAUAUAAAUGAGAUAUAUACACACAUGUGUGUAUACUAUAUACUAUAGAUAAGCAAUAUUACACAAAAUAUCGAACAUUAUUUACCUAGAAGAAGUUAUGCAACAGCAGCUGCAACAGCAACAACAACAAGCCGAUUAACAAGCAUAUUUAAUGUUAUAUAACAAAUAGUUGAAAUGAAUUUAUUAAUUUCUCCUCAUAAUUUAAAUGUUGUUCGUUGUGCAUGUUGUGAAUGUGUAUUCGCGUAAUUGUAUUCGCGCAAUUGUUUCGAAUUAUGCAAUUUAAUUACAAUUAUAGUACACUUAACUAUUACUCUUAUUAGUCUUUAGUUUGCUCAGAGCUUAGAGGAGAUCGUAAGUGAAAGAGCAAGAGAAUGAUGCACUCUCUCUCUCUCUCUCUGCUCUUUUUACUCUCCCCGCUCUGGCAAAUGCAUUGUCUUAGUCGUUUAGUAUGUACAUUUUAGUUAUUACAAUUAUAUAUCGCUUACAUAGCAUACGAGUAUCUAGAGUACAUUAUUACCUACUAUAACUACAUUCUAUUUGUGUCUAAUAAAUGUCUCAGAAAAUAUAAAUUGUAUAUGCAAAA